GGAUAAUCGGGAGAAAUCCCGUCUAAUACCGCGUAAUGCGCGGGGCUGUCAUGGCCCUGCGGCCAAAGGGAGCGAUCCGGCAACGGAUGGGCAUGCGUGACAUUAGCUAGUUGGCGGGGCAACGGCCCACCAAGGCGACGAUGUCUAGGGGUUCUGAGAGGAAGGUCCCCCACACUGGUACUGAGACACGGACCAGACUCCCACGGGAGGCAGCAGUGAGGAAUAUUGGUCAAUGGGCGCGAGCCUGAACCAGCCAAGUCGCGUGAGGGAUGACGGCCCUACGGGUUGUAAACCUCUUUUGUCGGGGAGCAAAUUCCGCCACGUGUGGCGGAGUCGAGAGUACCCGAAGAAAAAGCAUCGGCUAACUCCGUGCCAGCAGCCGCGGUAAUACGGAGGAUGCGAGCGUUAUCCGGAUUUAUUGGGUUUAAAGGGUGCGUAGGCGGACUGUCAAGUCAGCGGUAAAAUACGGGGGCUCAACCUCCGCCCGCCGUUGAAACUGACGGUCUUGAGUGGGCGAGAAGUAUGCGGAAUGCGUGGUGUAGCGGUGAAAUGCACAGAUAUCACGCAGAACUCCGAUUGCGAAGGCAGCAUACCGGCGCCCGACUGACGCUGAAGCACGAAAGCGUGGGUAUCGAACAGGAUUAGAUACCCUGGUAGUCCACGCAGUAAACG
rnacentral:rRNA from 1 species